GGGCAAGCGUUGUCCGGAUUUAUUGGGCGUAAAGAGCGUGUAGGCGGCCUGGUAGGUCAGUUGUGAAAACUCGAGGCUCAACCUCGAGACGCCGAUUGAAACCACCAGGCUAGAGUCCGGAAGAGGAGAGUGGAAUUCCCGGUGUAGCGGUGAAAUGCGCAGAUAUCGGGAAGAACACCCGUGGCUAAGGCGGCUCUCUAGUACGGUACUGACGCUGAGACGCGAAAGCGUGGGGAGCGAACAGG
rnacentral:rRNA from 1 species